GAGGUGGAAUAAGGUUGUAAUUUUGGUGGUGUAAGGCAGCAAAGAUGGUGAAGUUGAAGGAGCUUUGGGUGGUGAUGGAUGUAGAUUUUCGGAGUAAAUCUCUCUGGAUAGCCAAUUCUCUCUCGCGUCUCUUUGGGGUUUCCCGUGGUCAAAAUCGUCCACGAAAAUUUCUAGAUGUAGGUAAUGUCCUGAAGAAUUGAUGGUGAAAAUCUCCCUAGUAGUAUUUUGGCUGUGUUGUUCUCGCUUUUUUGUUUUCUAACAUGAAGAUUCUGAACUCAAAAACAGAAAUCUCUCUGGAUAGCCAAUUCUCUCUCGCGUCUCUUUGGGGUUUCCCGUGGUCAAAAUCGUCCACGAAAAUUUCUAGAUGUAGGUAAGGUCCUGAAGAAUUGAUGGUGAAAAUCUCCCUAGUCUUUUUGUGCUUGUACCGAGCCCAGUUGUCUUCGUUUCUGACUUGAAGAUUCUGCUGUCGAAAAACAGCAAGUGGUGAUGGUUGUGGUUAUUUGAAAGGGUUUUUUUGGAGGAGGUUUAAGGAUGGUAUUUGGAGGGUGUUAGGAGAGUAUUUUGAGGUUGUUUGGAGGUUGGAAUGAGGUUGAUAUAAGGUGGUGAAAGUUUAUGAAGAUGAUGAUGUUUGAUGGGUUGAAGAUGAACACCUUGAGUUUGAAUGAAGAAGAUGAAGAUAGUUGAUGAUGUUCUUCAUUUUUGGUUGUUGUUGAUCUUGAUGUUCUUGGUUAUCUCCAGGGAUGAAGAUUGAGAGGGUGUGGUUUUACAAAGGAAAAUUCACUAUAACAUAUGAAUCUCUCUUAGUCUCUUAUAUUCUCACUAACACUAAACACACACUACAUACACAUGUAUAUAUAUGAGAAACAAAUAUCUAGUAGUAGUACACUUGAGUGUAAGUUGAAAGAUGCAAGUUGAUGUAGAGCUAGGAGCAAAGAACGUGGGAAGGUUUUAGGCUUCUUCAUCCUUGACUUUUCUUGACUUCCUCCUUUGUUUGACUUAUUCAACACAUAUACAUAUCUAUAUAUAUAAUACAUAUAUAUAUAUAACACAUACAUAUAUAUAAUACAUAUAUAUACAUACGUAUAUAUAUAUAUAUAUAUAUAUAUUGGUGAAACUUUUUAGUCACACAGCUAAUUUUCUCGUCUAUGCGCGUGCUUUCGUAUUUUCCGUUUUAUUACGCAUUCAUGCAACCUGAAAUAACUGAUAAUAUUUGUUAGAUUGUAUAAAAACAGUUCAUCUUAUUUCAGUUAUGGUCACAUACAAGGUUACAUAAGAACAUUUUUCAACACUCUCCUUCUCUUUUCUGUUUGAUGUUCCGUUGCUGCCAC
rnacentral:lncRNA from 1 species